rnacentral:rRNA from 1 species
GAUGAACGCUGGCGGCGUGCCUAAUACAUGCAAGUCGAGCGAACAGACGAGGAGCUUGCUCCUCUGACGUUAGCGGCGGACGGGUGAGUAACACGUGGAUAACCUACCUAUAAGACUGGGAUAACUUCGGGAAACCGGAGCUAAUACCGGAUAAUAUAUUGAACCGCAUGGUUCAAUAGUGAAAGACGGUUUUGCUGUCACUUAUAGAUGGAUCCGCGCCGCAUUAGCUAGUUGGUAAGGUAACGGCUUACCAAGGCAACGAUGCGUAGCCGACCUGAGAGGUAGACCGGCCAAAUGGGAACUGAAACAGGGUCAAAACCCCAGGGGGGGGCGACGGUAGGAAAUCUUCAAGAAGGGGAAAAGCCCUAACGGAACAACGCGGAGUGAGUGGAGAAGGUCUUAGGAUCAUAAAACUCUUUUAUAAGGAAAAAAAAAGUGGGAAAGAAACUAGUCCCGUCUGGAGGGUAACUAAUAAAAAGACCACGACAAACUACGAC